rnacentral:rRNA from 1 species
CCUACGGGAGGCAGCAGUGGGGAAUAUUGCACAAUGGGGGCAACCCUGAUCCAGCGACGCAGCGUGAGUGAAGAAGGAUUUCGGUAUGUAAAGCUUUAUCAGCAGGGAAGAUAAUUACGGUACCUGACUAAGAAGCCCCGGCUAACUACGUGCCAGCAGCCGCGGUAAUACGGCGGGGGCAAGCGUUAUCCGGAUUUACUGGGGUUAAAGGGAGCGUAGGUGGUUGGGCAAGUCAGAUGUGAAAAGCUGGGGCUCAACCCCAGGAGUGCAUUUGAGACUGUCCAGUUGGAGUGCAGGAGAGGUAAGCGGAAUUCCUAGUGUAGCGGUGAAAUGCAUAGAUAUUAGGAGGAACUCCGGUGGCGAAGGCAGCUUACUGGACUGUAACUGACACUGAGGCUCGAAAGCGUGGGGAGCAAACAGGAUUAGAUACCCGAGUAGUC